GGGCGCUUAGCUCAGUUGGUUAGAGCGGUUGACUUACAUUCAACAGGUCAGGGGUUCAAGUCCUCUAGCGCCCACCA
rnacentral:tRNA from 1 species